rnacentral:rRNA from 1 species
UACAGAGGGGGCAAGCGUUGUUCGGAUUUACUGGGCGUAAAGGGCGCGUAGGCGGUCAGCACAAGUCAGUUGUGAAAUCUCCGGGCUUAACUCGGAAAGGUCAACUGAUACUGUGCGACUAGAGUGCAGAAGGGGCAACUGGAAUUCUCGGUGUAGCGGUGAAAUGCGUAGAUAUCGAGAGGAACACCUGCGGCGAAGGCGGGUUGCUGGGCUGACACUGACGCUGAUGCGCGAAAGCCAGGGGAGCGAUCCGG